rnacentral:rRNA from 1 species
UACGUAGGGGACGAGCGUUGUCCGGAAUUACUGGGGCGUAAAGGGCGCGCAGGCGGUAUAUCAAGUCAGCUGUCAAAGACUGGGGCUCAACCCUGGUAUGCGGUUGAAACUGAUAUGCUGGAGUGCUGUAGAGGCAAGUGGAAUUCCCAGUGUAGCGGUGAAAUGCGUAGAUAUUGGGAAGAACACCGGUGGCGAAGGCGACUUGCUGGGCAGCAACCGACGCUGAGGCGCGAAAGCCAGGGGAGCAAACGGGGAUUAGAUACCCGGGUA